rnacentral:lncRNA from 1 species
GUGCCCGUCACCCCGUCCCGUCUCUCUCCCUCAACUGAAUCAACUUCUUUAAGUAACUAAAAAUGGCGGUGGCAAUGGCGCAGGCAUCAUCAAGGGAACCAUGACCACAACCCACUCCUACACCGGCGACCAGAGGCUGCUGGACGCGAGCCACCGCGACCUGCGCCGUGCCCGUGCCGCCGCGCUCAACAUCGUGCCCACCUCCACCGGCGCGGCCAAGGCCGUGGCGCUGGUGCUGCCCAACCUCAAGGGCAAGCUCAACGGGAUCGCGCUCCGGGUGCCCACCCCCAACGUGUCCGUCGUCGACCUCGUGGUGCAGGUCUCCAAGAAGACCCUCGCCGAGGAGGUGAACCAGGCGUUCCGCGACGCCGCCGCCAACGAGCUCAAGGGCAUCCUCGACGUCUGCGACGAGCCGCUCGUGUCCGUCGACUUCAGGUGCUCCGACGUGUCCUCCACCAUCGACGCGUCGCUCAGCAUGGUCAUGGGAGACGACAUGGUCAAGGUCAUCGCGUGGUACGACAACGAGUGGGGUUACUCCCAGAGGGUCGUCGACCUCGCCGACAUCGUCGCCGACCAAUGGAAGUGAACGCCGGACGGCGGCAUUAUUGCCCUGUGAAGUGACUCCUCUCGAAAUUUUCCCCAGCCAUCGUCACGGAUGAUCGAUUCUUUGUAAUGAGAAUUCGAAGUAUCGAGCUCCCAACAGCUUCUUUUUUUUCCUUUCUUUUCUUGUUCUUCUUUUUUCUUUCUCUGAUUUUUCAGUGUCCAGACACGGAUUAUAAUAGACUUCCUGCAAAGGAAGUCUCAACGCUGUGCAUCUGUAAUAUAUACUAUCGUUUGCCAGGUUCUGAUGUAGAAUUCAACUUGUUCUUCGAACAUUUCCAUCGUUUUGACCUUUACUGCUAUCUAAACAUGCAUGAUCAACUCAGGAAGAAAAGUUUGAACCAUACACGAAAGUUACCAUAAAAUGAAAAGUUUGAACUUCUGAUGGCAAUUGCAAAAUUAAAGGGAGCACAACCAUGCAGCCCAUUAUCAGAGUUUUUAUUUCAUUUGUGCGAAAACUCAUUAUCAGAGUUGUCCACACAAACUGACUCACAAGAUAAGAGAUUGCGAUCUGCGCGCCGAGUCUAGGUGGAUGAUGGCAUGAACUACUUAGAGAGUAGACCCACAACUUUUGUGGGUCGUAUUUUCAUUGGACAUCAUGGUUCACAUGUUUGCCAUCCUAUAUGCUUGGUGCCAAUCAGUGUGUGAGUGGUCAAGAAUACAUGGAACUCAUCAGGGAUAGAUAUUGCAGACCAUACAAUGCACAGACCACAGAGGGUGUCUUUCCACUCUGAAGCAUUCAGAUGGAUCAAAACAUCUCGAAUCUCUAUACCCAAAUGGCCCGUGUUUAACUUGAUAGAAUCAAGAUAUUUAGAAUUCAGAGUUGAGCUCUCUCUACUCAAUGCCCCAUGAUAAGACAUACUGUAUGCAGUAUUUAUCGAUGAAAUAGCAAGUACUAAGAACCAUUCAAGUAAAUUCUAGUAGAAGCUAACAUGAUAUAUUGAACUUCAACCAGGGUUCUUUGGAUGACACUUCAUACGCUAAGUGCUAGACUGAUAGCAUUUUCAGCAACAAAAAAUAACUACUCUAAAGGAAAAUUCAGAUACUAGUUUUCGCUCAAGGAAAGUGCAUUCCUGAUUCCUUUGCAGAACACCUUUUUACCGUCCCUGCUUCAACCGCUGCCAUUGAAAAGGUUCCAAUCAUGUACAUCGAAGUUCAUCACUGCAAGUCUGAAGACCUCCGACAUUGGCAAGCAUCCUGCUUGUUCUGCGGGUACUGCUGGUCCAGCUGCAACUGCCUGGGCACUUUCACUCAAAGGACUGAAAUAAAAAUGACAGAAAAAUAUAUCAUUCAAGGGGUAGCCUGUAACAUUGUAGAAGUGGGCAGCACAAACAUAAUACCCGAGCAUAAAAAUCAAGGCAUCGUACCUAGCUAGUUGUUAACUUGGAUAUGUAAGUCCAUACUAAUUUUACUUGCUUUCACUCAGAUCUAAUACGACUAUCUCCACAUUACUUGUGAUGCAUCAUUAUACUGUUUCAUCUGCAUUUCAGCUGAAAAGUAUAAAAUCUAGUUUUGGCAUUGUGGUCUCCCCAUAGUACUAUUAUAGCACUCAACAUGACUAGCCUAGGUAGAAAACUGAAGUAACUACAUGAGGCCCUGAGCAAAAGAGGCUUCUGUUUCAUCAACCGAGAAGGUUUUUUGUUUCAUAUUUUAGUUCUGCCAUUGACCAUACUACUACGAUAAUACAAUUUUAUUCAACGUGUGUAGCCUAGAUAAUGAACUGAAAAAAAUUGAGCAGGGCAGGAUUGUCAUUCUGAAUUAUAAAGAUGACAGAGACAAGGGAGUUUAAAACCCACAUGAUUAGUAAGCAUAAUUGCUACUGCAUAAGAAGUUAUUGAUUGUCAUUCAAACAUGUCGAUAUAGAUCAGAUUUAUGCAAGUUCAGAUUAUACCAAAUAAUACAUAGUUCUCCUAAGCACUGUAUAAUAAUCAAGUCAUACAAAGAUUGAUAAAUGGUGAUAAAUAGUACUAGCUAUGAUGAUAAAUCUGAACAAGACUUUCUACUUGAGAAGGUAAUUUUUUUAAUAAAAGAUUGGUUCAUAAAAUUUCAUUAAUCAGAGGAAGUAUGUCAUAGUGAUCUGCUAAGCUUACUUUAUCACGAGCGGCUUGUAUGCGGUGAUCAGGGNNNNNNNNNNNNNNNNNNNNNNNNNNNNNNNNNNNNNNNNNNNNNNNNNNNNNNNNNNNNNNNNNNNNNNNNNNNNNNNNNNNNNNNNNNNNNNNNNNNNNNNNNNNNNNNNNNNNNNNNNNNNNNNNNNNNNNNNNNNNNNNNNNNNNNNNNNNNNNNNNNNNNNNNNNNNNNNNNNNNNNNNNNNNNNNNNNNNNNNNNNNNNNNNNNNNNNNNNNNNNNNNNNNNNNNNNNNNNNNNNNNNNNNNNNNNNNNNNNNNNNNNNNNNNNNNNNNNNNNNNNNNNNNNNNNNNNNNNNNNNNNNNNNNNNNNNNNNNNNNNNNNNNNNNNNNNNNNNNNNNNNNNNNNNNNNNNNNNNNNNNNNNNNNNNNNNNNNNNNNNNNNNNNNNNNNNNNNNNNNNNNNNNNNNNNNNNUGAUAACUACAUCAGUUGCUGCAUUCUUGAGACGUAUGUUUGCCAAGUAAAGCUGCAAAGGUAGCCCAAUGCUCAGUUGAAAAAGCAAACAUUAACUGUUGAACCAUAAUUCCAAGGGAUGGGUGUACUCACCCGAACAAUGUUCUGUGCUUCUCUGCCUUGCCUCCCUUUUGAAACAGCCUACAGAUGCCGAAAUCAAGCGUGAGAUCCUUAAGUAAAUUUUAUUCACUGCCGGUGUGAAGUGGCCAUCAUAUAAUGAAUGCCAAGGAACAGAAAUAUCAAAUUAUGAGACUGAGCUGACUUGUGCAAUUAAAGGUAUCAUAUCCAGGGAAGCACAGGUGGAAACUAAUCAACUGGAGGUCGAUUGAAGGCAAGGAGCAGGGUAAUCUGGAUAUGGCACAGGACGUUUGCUUACCAGCUUGCCAAUUGCAGUUCCAGCCACUGCAGGUGCUUCGCCGGAGCGCAGACCAGCUAGCUCAACUGUCCCAGAGUGCUCGACCACCUAACCGACAAAAAAAGAGGUAAGUUACCAACAUGAGUAAAAUCCACUUGGAUCGGAAAUUUAACAACCGUGAGUUCAUGACCAUUCAAUGCACAUGAAGCAGGCAAAGAAUUCGUGAGUACAGCUGCUUUUAUUGUCGAAAGAAGAAUACGGUUGUUUUGGACAGAAAGCCAAGCAGGGAGAACUGUUGUUUAAUGGCAAUGAAUCGAAAUUUAUAGGGCCAAGUGGCCAAGCUAUUCACAGAGUGAAGCCAGGACAUUACCAGGUUACUAGUAGAAUGCCCGUGCGUUGCCACGGACAUCUAAAAUAUUCUGCCAUAACACAUGUUAAAUUUUACACGCUAAUGGCAGUUAAUAUUUUUAAAACAUCAUCCAAAUCCAUCACUUCUUAUCUCCGACAAACAAAACUGGAAUAAAAAUUUUACUACAUUAUAUAAGUAUAUAUUGUAUAGUAUAUGAAAACAAAUUUGAGACUAACACAACUGAUUUUAUUUGCAAAAAAUGGCUAUCCGAAAUUACAUAUAAAUAUAUAAACAUAUAUAAAUGAUAUUUUAUAUUAAUAAACAUAAGGAAAAAUAAAUUAUUUUUCACAUACCUAGUUUUUAGCUUACCUACCCUGCGUACCACCUCAACCACUCUCUCACCGCACGCACCCCUCCCUCUCUCACCCUCCCACUCCUUCUCUCCGUCAUGACGUUGCCCCCGCUAUCCCUCUCCGCCACGAUGUCCUGGCCGCCACAUCUUCCCCCUGGCAUGUCCCUGCCUCCUCCCUUCCAUGCUCAUCGGCACCUCCCAACCCCUCCAUUGAGAUCUCGCCCGCCUUCUCCACUCCCCGCCAUGUGUCCGGGUGAGCAGCCGGUUCCGACCGCCGUCAAGCCGUGCCGUCGAUCUGGCCAUCCCAGGCCGAUUUUCGGUGCCAACAACAAGCGAGCCGCACCAUCGAUCUGCCAUCCUAGGCCGAUUUCUGGUGCCGAGGGCGUCGCGUUCCCCCUCCAAGCUGCACGGCGACAGGGCUCUUCCGCCAUCCACUAACUGCCGCUCGCCGCUCCAAGUAGUAGGCGCCAACACUGAGAGAGUCUGGCUGGGCCUCCACUCCAGCAGACAGGUCCACACAAAUUUCUUGCAAUACAUUAAAUGCUUACAUCGUUUUUCAAGUAGACAUUAGUUUGUUAGCUUAUGCUCGUGCAUUGCCAUGGGUUAAAACUUCAAAUUAUGCAAACAUUUCAUUGUGUUGUCGAUAAGAAAAGUAAGAUACAUACGUACACUAUUUGUCGUUGGUAAAUCUCUCGUUCUUCAACACCAACGCAACAAGAAUACAAACGUUGAUCUAUUAGUGAUCCCCGCCUCUCCAACCAUUAAAAUACCGCUCCUUGUUAUCUUGGUUUUUUACGUUACUUACCAGAUCUGGUGGUGUUCCGUCGGAUCUUGCACAUCCUCUCCCGUCCGCUCGUCUCCGACCGGUGAGAGGCAUUGCCGCAUUGGUAGUUGGUCACAUUUUGGCUGAUUGUCUGGUCGUCGGCCGCGAUGGGGUUUCAUCCCUGGUGGUUGAUGCGUGUUCCCCAUAUGGCAACAAGAAUACAAACNNNNNNNNNNNNNNNNNNNNNNNNNNNNNNNNNNNNNNNNNNNNNNNNNNNNNNNNNNNNNNNNNNNNNNNNNNNNNNNNNNNNNNNNNNNNNNNNNNNNNNNNNNNNNNNNNNNNNNNNNNNNNNNNNNNNNNNNNNNNNNNNNNNNNNNNNNNNNNNNNNNNNNNNNNNNNNNNNNNNNNNNNNNNNNNAGAAUACAAACAUUGAUCUAUUAGUGAUCCCCGCCUCUCCAACCAUUAAAAUACCGCUCCUUGUUAUCUUGGUUUUUUACGUUACUUACCAAAUCUGGUGGUGUUCUGUCGGAUCUUGCACACCCUCUCCCGUCCGCUCGUCUCCAACCGGUGAGAGGCAUUGCCGCAUUGGUAGUUGGUCACGUUCUGGCUGAUUGUCUGGUCGUCGGCCGCGAUGGGGUUUCAUCCCUGGUGGUUGAUGCGUGUUCCCCAUAUGGCCCCUCCUCUUUGGCCUGGGUGACAGUAUAAUUUUCUUUGAAUGGUCGCAAGGUUGAAACAAUUCUAUCGAACAAAAAAAGCAUUUCAAAUAAUAUGACCACAAUGUAAUUGUGUAUUAACCUAUGCCAAUAUGGUAAAAAUGAGGCCUACAAAACAAACUAUAAUGGCAAAAUAUAAGUUAGCAACUUAGCAUUGCUCCCAAAAUUACCGGGUAAGGCCAAAGCUUUAAUCGUUACCCUGUGCAUGGAGGCCCUCUACUAUCAUUAGAACAAUUAAUUCUUGGAAGGAAUGUCAUAUACUUUCCUAUAGAAUAAUAAUAAAAUAUUUAUGUUGCACAGAAAAAAUUUAUUUGGAAAAUAACUCACACUCUGAUAUAUGAGUAUUAGAAAUAAACCAGCACCUCGGAUUACAGUGUUGUAGAUUGUGAUAUGGUGAUGAAUAUGUGUUGAUAGAUCAGCGUCCAAGGAAAGUUGUGUGAUUUGUAUGCCUUCAGAAACCAUUAUAUCAAGAUACCUAGGAUUACAAUUAUUUCUCAAACAGAGAAAAGGAAAUUAAACCAUGUAAGACAUCUCUAGCAUAAGACAUCCUACCUCUAGCAUAAGACAUAGAGGUAGGAAAUGUAUAACAAUGUUGCAUAAAAAGCAAAAUACAUAGCGCCAUAUGAAUAGUAUAGUAGGAUCCCAAGCUUGUAACUGUUUUUUUUGGAAAUGGAGGUAGCCCCGGCCUCUGCAUCAUGAUGAUGCAUGCGUCCCUCUUAUUAAAAAUCCAGAAAGUAUCAUCGUAAAGGUCUUACAGCUCGCAAACGGAGCAAAACAGAGCCGGAGGGCAUGUGGUCUCAAAUCCUACGCAAUAAGUAUUUACGCUCGAAAACGCUAGCCCAGGUUACCAUCAGACCGACUGAUUCACCGUUCUGUAAGGGACUUACGAGAACGAAGGUACAAUUACAAAACUAUUUCAUGCAAGCAAUUGAUAACCCUCACAUGAAGUUAUCACAAUUAAAUGUUCAAUUCAAAACUUCACACCAUGGCCAUAGUUAGCACCUAUAGUUCUUGCAGAACUACACAAUACAGCUGGUUGUCUAGAUUUCAGAAUUGAACAUUCAAUUAGUGAGUAAGAUUUAUAAACUCCUCUGUGAAAUGAAUUGCAGAAAACGGCAGACUACAGUGCUCUACAACAUAAACCAGCUUCACGACACAAACUAUACAAUCCCCGGAUUCGUACCAGUCCUUACGAAACCCUCGCUUAAUGGCCGAAUUAACUCACGUGUGUAUUUGAGCAAUUCGGAUUAAAAGAAAAUAUUCACUAAAUACCCCUGAUUCCAACUCAUGAGCAUCUAAAAGGUCCUAGAAUUAACAGGCUUCAAUUGGCUUGUUAUGGUUAACGAAUUACCCCUAAGAUCUGAACCCUAGCAUCACCAAGUAAAUAGAUUUGAGAUGGCAAACUCAGACGGGGACAGAUCCGAGACAUGGGCAGCAUCAGCAGUGUACCGGCAUGCGCUGAGAUUUCUGUGCAUCGGAAUUAACCAGACUGUCGGACACGUUAGGCCGUCGUCCCGUCCGUGGAAGGUGUGCUUGCCGACGGCGUUGGGUGAUCGAGCGAGGGAGCCAAACACAAAGCUCAGAUCUCUGUUGGGUCACGUCGAGCACCUUUGUGCCAUGGAGAAAGUGCCGACUGCCGCUCGCGGAGCGCGUUGACGUCAUAGAACUGCAGAAAAAGCGGUGUACAACAGGAUACAUCAGGCAGAGUGCUGACCUUGCCGUUGAUGGAAUACCAUCAUAUGUCGGGUCCAACACGGCCUAUGUCACCUUGACCACGCCGACUUUGCACCACCACCAUGGCAGAACACAUGCCUCGACGAGGUGCUCCAUGGCCACUGUCCUGGACGCCAGGGAGACCGCGACAGACCACAUGCCUCGAUGAGGUGCACCAAGCUUCUAUUCGGAAGCAACUAGGUUGAUGCGUUCAUGUAAUGUUCGCGCGCCAGACUGUGCCGCUAGCAGCCCAACCACCCGGCGGAGCAGCGUCGGGGCGAGGCCUACUGCACGCUCCACCCUAGGAUCUGAAACACGAAUGCAGGCACGUGCCUAGCUUGGCAAGGCAACCAGCACCAUGAAAUUUAAGUAGUGAGCCUCUCUCGCCGCCGCCGAAGUCGAGGUGGAUGCCGAUGAGCCUGCCCUUGACUACUUUCCCUCACCGCAUGCUACACGGUCACUCCGCCUUGUCACCUCGCUGCCACCUCCUCGCCACCAUAGCUGCCAUCCUCGGCCAUCGACAGGCAUCCAACCAGUCUGCUCCGAUGAAAGGGAGAUAGAGAUGGAGCAUCAUCAUGGCUAGAGUUUCAGAAACAAAGAAACGUGAAGGGGUGGGCUUUAGAAAAGUUGGGAUCGCUACACCCGGAAACAAAUUGUAAUUGUUGAGCCAGAUGGGAUACGAGGGGAUCUCUGCUGAUGCGAGAGAGAUUGAGAUGGAGCAUCGUGGCUAGAGUUUCAAAAAAAAGGAAACGGGAAGGGAUGGGAUUUAGGAAAUUUAGGAUCGCCACAUAUAUGGAAACAAAUCGCAAUAUUUGAGCCGGAUGGGAUACGACGGAAUUAGCGGUGAGGGUGUCGAGGCUUUGUUAGAUGGAGCGAACGAACGAAACGACGUACGGACUCCUCCAUUAGGAGUAGAGAUGGAAACAAAUCUCAAUAUUUGAGCCAGAUGGGAUACGACGGAAUUAGCGGUGAGGGUGUCGAGGCUUUGUUAGAUGGAGCGAACGAACGAAACGACGUACGGACUCCUCCAUUAGGAGUAGAGAUCACCCGCAUCUUGCUCGUUGGCGACGUCGCGCAGGAACCAGAGCGCGCUGCCGCCAUCCUCCACCUCGCCCUUGAGGUCGAGCAGCUCGAAGAUGAGGCUCUCUUCACGGGCGGGAUUGACGAAAACUUCCUGGUUACGCAGCAGAACCACACACAUCGAUCAAUAAGGGAACGAACCAACUGUUGGAAAUAUGCCCUAGAGGCAAUAAUAAAUUAGUUAUUAUUAUUAUAUUUCAUUGUUCAUGAUAAUCGUUUAUUAUCCAUGCUAGAAUUGUAUUAAUAGAAAACUCAGAUACAUGUGUGGAUACAUAGACAACACCAUGUCCCUAGUAAGCCUCUAGUUGACUAGCUCGUUAAUCAAUAGAUGGUUACGGUUUCCUGACCAUGGACAUUGGAUGUCAUUGAUAAUGGGAUCACAUCAUUAGGAGAAUGAUGUGAUGGACAAGAACCAAUCCUAAGCCUAGCACAAAGAUCGUGUAGUUCGUAUGCUAAAGCUUUUCUAAUGUCAAGUAUCAUUUCCUUAGACCAUGAGAUUGUGCAACUCCCGGAUACCGUAGGAAUGCUUUGGGUGUACCAAACGUCACAACAUAACUGGGUGGCUAUAAAUGUUCACUACAGGUAUCUCCGAAAGUGUCUGUUGGGUUGGCACGAAUCGAGACUGGGAUUUGUCACUCCGUGUAAACGGAGAGGUAUCUCUGGGCCCACUCGGUAGGACAUCAUCAUAAUGUGCACAAUGUGACCAAGGAGUUGAUCACGGGAUGUUGUGUUACGGAACGAGUAAAGAGACUUGCUGGUAACAAGAUUGAACAAGGUAUCGGGAUACCGACGAUCGAAUCUCGGGCAAGUAUCGUACCGAUAGACAAAGGGAAUUGUAUACGGGAUUGAUUGAAUCCUUUACAUCGUGGUUUAUCCGAUGAGAUCAUCGUGGAACAUGUAGGAGCCAACAUGGGUAUCCAGAUCCCGCUGUUGGUUAUUGACCGGAGAGUUGUCUCGGCCAUGUCUGCAUGACUCCCGAACCCGUAGGGUCUACACACUUAAGGUUCGAUGACGCUAGGGUUAUAGGGAAAGUAUGUACGCGGUUACCGAAUGUUGUUCGGAGUCCUGGAUGAGAUCCCGGAUGUCACGAGGAGUUCCGGAAUGAUCCGAAGGUAAAGAUUGAUAUAUAGGAAGUAUGGUUUUGGCCACCGGAAGUGUUCCGGGCAUCACCGGUAGUGUACCGGGACCACCGGAGGGGUCCGGGGGUCCGCCAGGUGGGGCCAGCGGCCCCGGAGGCAUACAUGGGCCAAGUGUGAGAAGGGACCAGCCCCUAGGUGGGCUGGGGCACCUCCCCACCAAGGCCCAUGUGCCUAGAGAAAAGAGGGGGCAAACCCUAAGGGCAAAUGGGCCCUAAGGCCCAUGCCUGGUGCGCCUCCCUCUCCCCCCUACUUGGCCGCCACCCGAAGAUGGGGAUUGGGGCUGCCGCCACCCCUAGGGUGGAAACCCUAGGUGGGGGCGCAGCCCUCCCUCUCCCCCUAUAUAUAGUGGAGGCAAAGGGGCAGCCCAACACACGAAGUUCUUCCCCUGCUGGCGCAGCCCCUCCCCUCUAAUACCUCUCCUCCUCCGCGUGAGCUUGGCGAAGCCCUGCCGGAGAACUGCCACUCCAUCACCACCACGCCGUCGUGCUGCUGUUGGACUCUCUUGCUCAACCUCUCCUUCCUCCUUGCUGGAUCAAGGCAUGGGAGACGUCUCCGUUCCGUACGUGUGUUGAACGCGGAGGUGUCGUCCGUUCGGCGCUAGGAUCAUCGGUGAUUUGGAUCACGACGAGUACGACUCCAUCAACCCCGUUCACUUGAACGCUUCCGCUUAGCGAUCUACAAGGGUAUGUAGAUGCACUAUCCUUCCCCUCGUUGCUAGAUUACUCCAUAGAUUGAUCUUGGUGAUGCGUAGAAAAUUUUAAAUUUCUGCUACGAUCCCCAACAGUGGCAUCAUGAGCUAGGUCUAUCCAUAGUUUCUAUGCACGAGUAGAACACAAAGCAGUUGUGGGCGUCGAUAUUGUCAAUUUAGUUGCCGUUACUAGUCUUAUCUUGAUUCGGCGACAUCGUGGGAUGAAGCGUCCCGGACCGACCUUACACGUACUCUUACGUGAGACUGGUUCCACCGACUGGCAUGCACUAGUUGCAUAAGGUGGCUAGCGGGUGUCUGUCUCUCCCACUUUAGUCGGAUCGGAUUCGAUGAAAAGGGUCCUUAUGAAGGGUAAAUAGAAAUUGGCAUAUCACAUUGUGGUUUUCGCGUAGGUAAGAAACGUUCUUGCUAGAAACCUAUAGCAGCCACGUAAAAACUUGCAACAACAAUUAGAGGACGUCUAACUUGUUUUUGCAGCAUAUGCCGUGUGAUGUGAUAUGGCCCAAAGGAUGUGAUGAAUGAUAUAUGUGAUAUAUGAGAUUGAUCAUGUUCUUGUAAUAGGAAUCACGACUUGCAUGUCGAUGAGUAUGACAACCGGCAGGAGCCAUAGGAGUUGUCUUAAUUUAUUUAUGACCUGCGUGUCAACUUAAAAGUCAUGUAAUUACUUUACUUAAUUGCUAAAGCGUUAGCCAUAGUAGUAGAAGUAAUAGAUGACAAGACAACUUCAAGAAGACACGAUGAUGAAGAUCAUGAUGAUGGAGAUCAUGGUGUCAUGCCGGUGAUAACGAUGAUCAUGGAGCCCCGAAGAUGGAGAUCAAAAGGAGCAAAAUGAUAUUGGCCAUAUCAUGUCACUAUUUGAUUGCAUGUGAUGUUUAUCAUGUUUUACAUCUUAUUUGCUUAGAACGACGGUAGCUUAAAUAAGAUGAUCCCUCUCUAAAAUUUCAAGAAAAGUGUUCCCCCUAACUGUGCACUGUUGCAAAGGUUCAUUGUUUCGAAGCACCACAUGAUGAUCGGGUGUGAUAGAUUCUAACAUUCGAAUACAACGGGUGUUGACGAGCCUAGCAUGUACAGACAUGGCCUCGGGACACACACGAAACACUUAGGUUGACUUGACGAGCCUAGCAUGUACGGACAUGGCCUCGGAACAUGGAAGACCAAAAGUUCGAACAUGAGUCGUAUAGAAGAUAUGAUCAACAUGAGAUGUUCACCGUUUAUGACUAGUCCGUCUCACGUGAUGAUCGGACACGGCCUAGUCGAUUUGGAUCAUGUUUCACUUAGAUGACUAGAGGGAUGUCUAUCUGAGUGGGAGUUCAUUAAAUAAUUUGAUUAGAUGAACUCAAUUAUCAUGAACAUAGUCUAAAUUGUCUUCGCAAAUAUGUUGUAGAUAAAUAGCUCACGUUGUAGCUCCCUGUUUCAAUACGUUCCUAGAGAAAGAUUAAGUUGAAAGAUAUUGUAAGAAAUGAUGCGGACUAGGUCCGUAGUCCGAGGAGUGUCCUCACUGCUACACGGAAGGCUUACGUCUUUGAUGCACCACUCGAUGUGCAAACCCCUACAACGUCGUCUGUGGAUGUUGUGAACACCUGACAGACACAUUCUGAUGACUACCUGAUAGUUUAGUGCACCAUACUUUACGGCUUAGAAUCGGGAUUCCAAUGACGUUUUGAACGCCAUAGAACAUAUGAGAUGUUCCAAGAGCUGAAAUUGGGAUUUCAGGCUCAUGCCCGUGUUGAGAGAUGUGAGACCUCUGACAAGUUCUUUAGCCAAUAAGAUGGAGGAGAAUAGCUCAGCUAGUGAGCAUGUGCUCAGAAUGUCUGGGUGCAACAAUCACUUAAAUCAAGUGGGAGUUAAACUUCCAGAUAAGAUAGUGAUUGAUAGAAUUCUCUAGCCACUAUCACUAAGCUACUAGAUCUUCGUGAUGAACUAUGACAUGCAAGGGAUGGAGUUGAUCCCGGAGCUGUUCGCGGUGCUUAAGACCGAAAAAGGUAGAAAUCAAGAAGGAGCAUCAAGUGUUGAUGGUUUGACAAGACCACUGGUUUCAAGAAGGGCAAGGGCCAGAAGGGAAACUUCAUGGAUGGCAAACCAGUUGCCGCUCCAGUGAAGGAACCCAAGGUUGAACCCGAACCCGAGACUAAGUGCUUCUAUUGUAAGGGGAACGGUCACUGGUAGCGGAAUUACCCCAAAUGCAUGGUAGAUAAGAAGGCUGGCAACUUCAAAGUAUAUACGUGUUAUUAAUGUGUACCUCACUAGUACUCCUGGUAGCACCUGGGUAUUGGAUACCGGUUCAGUUGCUAUUAUUGGUGACUUGAAACAAAAGCUACGGACUAAACGGAGACUGGCUAAGGGCGAGGUGACGAUGUGUGUUGGAAGUGUUUCCAAAGUUGAUGAGAUCACCAUCGCACGCUCCAUCUGCCUUCGGGAUUAGUAUUGAACCUAGAUAAAUGUUAUCAGGUGUCUAUGUUGAGCAUGAAUAUGAUUAGAUCAUGUUCAUUGCAAUACAGUUAUUCAUUUAAGUUAGAGAAUAUACACAUGUUCACGCCAAAAGAUGUAGAGUUAAUAAUGAUAGUACCACUUUGUUGUGGCACUGCCGCUUAGGUCAUAUUGGCGUAAGAUGCAUGAAGAAACUCCAUAUCGAUGGAUAUUUGGAGUCACUUGAUUUUGAAUCGCUUGACACAUGCGAGCCAUGCCUCAUGGGCAGGAUGACUAAGACCCCGUUUUCAGGUACAAUGAAAUGGGCAAGUGACUUGUUGGAAAUCAUACAUGCUCAUGCGUGUGAUCCAAUGAGAAUUGAAGCGUGCGGUGGAUAUCGCUAUUUUCUCAUCUUCACUGACGAUUUGAGUAGAUAUAGGUAUAUUUACUUAAUGAAGCACAAGUCUGAAACGUUUGAAAAGUUCAAGCGAUUUCAGAGUGAAGUUAAGAAUCAUCAUAACAAGAAAAUCAAAUUCCUACGAUCUGAUCAAUGAGAAUUUCUGAGUUAUGAGUUUGGCAAACACUUAAGACAUUGUGGAAUUGUUUCAUAGUUGAAGCCACCUAGAACACCACAGGGUAAUGGUGUGUCCGGACGUCGUAAUUGAAUCUUAUGAGAUAUGGUGCGAUCUAUGAUGUCUCUUACCGAUCUUCCGCUAUUAUUUUGAGGUUAUGCAUUAGAGACAGCUGCAUUCACUUUAGAUAGGACACCAUAUAAGUCCGUUGAGACGACGUCGUAUGAACAUUGGUUUGGCAAGAAACCAAAGUUGUCGUUUCUUAAUGUUUGGGGCUGCGAUGCUUAAGGCUUCAGCCGGAGAAGCUCCAACCCAAAGCGGACAAACACAUCUUCAUAGGAUACCCAAAGGUGACAGUUGGGUACACCUUCUAUCUCAGAUCCGAUGGCAAAUUGUCUGUCACUAAGAAAGGGUCCUUUCUCGAGAAGGAGUUUCUCUCGAAAGAAUUGAGUGGGAGGAAGAUAGAACUUGAUGAGGUUGUCGAACCUUUACUUCAACCAGAGAGUGAUGCAACAUAGAAAGAUGUUUUCUAUGGCGCCUACGUCUGUUGAAUAGGAAGUUAAUGAUAGUGAUCAUGAAGCUUCGGAUCAAGUUGCUAUCGAACCUCGUAGGUCGACAAGGAUAUGUACUACUCCUGAGUGGUACGGUAAUCCUGUCUUAGAUAUCAUGUUGUUAGACAACAAUGAACCUACGAGCUAUGGAGAAGCGAUGGUGGGCCCGUAUUCCCACAAAUGGUUAGAAGCCAUGAAAUCCGAGAUAGGAUCCAUGUAUCAGAACAAAGUAUGGACUUUGGUGGACUUGCCUGAUGAUCAGCGAGCCAUUGAGAUAAAUGGAUCUUUAGGAAGAAGACGGACGUGGGUGGUAAUGUUACCGUCUAUGAAGCUCGACUUGUGGGAAAGAGUCUUUUCACAAGUUCAAGGAGUUUACUACGAUGAGAAUUUCUCACCCGUAGCGAUGCUUAAGUCCGUCGGAAUCAUGUUAGCAUUAGCUGUAUUUUUCGAUUAUGAAAUCUGACAGAUGGAUGUCAAAAACCAGUUUUCAUAAGAAAAAGUUGUGUGUGAUACAAUAAAAGGUUUUUGUCAAUCCUAAGGAUGCUAAAAGGUAUGCUGGCUCCAACAAUCCUUCUAUGGACUAGAGCAAGCAUCUCGGAGUCGGAAUAUAUGCUUUGAUGGAGUGAUCAAAGCUUUUAGGUUUAUACAAUGUUUGCUAGAAACUUGUAUUUACAAGAAAGUGAGUGGGAGCACUUCAACAUUUCUGAUAAGUAUAUGUGGAUGACAUAUUGUUGAUCUGAAAUAAUGUAGAAUUUCUAGAAAGCAUAAACGGUUGUUUGAAGAGUGAUUUUCAAAGGAAGACCUGGAUAAAGAUGCUUACAUAUUGGGCAUCAAGAUCUAUAGAGAUAGAUCAAGACACCUGAUGAUACUUUCAAAGAACGCACACCUUGACAUGUUUUUGAAGGAGUUCAAAAUAGAUCAGUCAAAGAAGGGGUUCUUACCUGAGUUGUAAGGUGUGAAGUUGAGUAAGACUCAAAGAUUGACCAUGGCAGAAGAAAUAGGAAGGACGAAGGUCGUCCCCUAUGCUCUUGUCAUAGGCUCUAUCCGGUAUGCCAUGCUGAGUACUGCACCUGAUGUGUGCCUUGCCACAUGUCUGGCAAGAGGGUACAAAGGUGAUCUAGGAGUAGAUCACCAGAUAGCGGUCAAAAUUAUCCUUAGAGGAAUAAGGAAAUGUUUCUCGGUUAUGGAGGUGAUAAAGAGUUCGACGUAAAGAGUUACGUUGAUGCAAGCUUAACACCUAUCCGGAUAGCUCUGAGUAGAGAUACCGGAUACGUAUAAUGGAGCAACAAUUUGGAAUAGCUCCAAGUGGAACGUGGUAGCAGCAUCUAUGAUUUGACAUAAAGUUUUGCGAAAUACAUAGGGAUCUGAAUAUGGCAAGACCCGUUGACUACAACCUCUCUCACAAGCAUAACAUGAUCAAACCUAGAACUCAUUGAGUGUUAAUCACAUAGUGAUGUGAACUAGAUUAUUGAGUCUAGUAAACUCUUCGGAUGUUGGUCACAUGGCGAUGUGACCUGUGAGUGUUAAUCACAUGGCGAUGUGAACUAGAUUAUUGACUCUAGUGCAAGUGGGAGACUGUUGGAAAUAUGCCCUAGAGGCAAUAAUAAAUUAGUUAUUAUUAUUAUUAUAUUUCAUUGUUCAUGAUAAUCGUUUAUUAUCCAUGCUAGAAUUGUAUUGAUAGGAAACUCAGAUACAUGUGUGGAUACAUAGACAAAACCAUGUCCCUAGUAAGCCUCUAGUUGACUAGCUUGUUGAUCAAUAGAUGGUUAUGGUUUCCUGACCAUGGACAUUGGAUGUCGUUGAUAAUGGGAUCACAUCAUUAGGAGAAUGAUGUGAUGGACAAGACCUAAUCCGAAGCCUAGCACAAAGAUCGUGUAGUUCGUAUGCUAAAGCUUUUCUAAUGUCAAGUAUCAUUUCCUUAGACCAUGAGAUUGUGCAACUCCCGAAUACCGUAGGAAUGCUUUGGGUGUACCAAACGUCACAAUGUAACUGGGUGGCUAUAAAGGUUCACUACGGGUAUCUCCGAAAGUGUCUGUUGGGUUGGCACGAAUCGAGACUGGGAUUUGUCACUCCGUGUAAAUGGAGAGGUAUCUCUGGGCCCACUCGGUAGGACAUCAUCAUAAUGUGCACAAUGUGACCAAGGAGUUGAUCACGGGAUGAUGUGUUACGGAACGAGUAAAGAGACUUGCCGGUAACGAGAUUGAACAAGGUAUCGGGAUACCGACGAUCGAAUCUCGGGCAAGUAUCGUACCGAUAGACAAAGGGAAUUGUAUACGGGAUUGAUUGAAUCCUUGACAUCGUGGUUCAUCCGAUGAGAUCAUCGUGGAACAUGUAGGAGCCAACAUGAGUAUCCAGAUCCCGCUGUUGGUUAUUGACCGGAGAGUUGUCUCGGCCAUGUCUGCAUGACUCCCGAACCCGUAGGGUCUACACACUUUAAGGUUCAAUGACGCUAGGGUUAUAGGGAAAGUAUGUACACGGUUACCGAAUGUUGUUCGGAGUCUCGAAUGAGAUCCUGGACAUCAUGAGGAGUUCCGGAAUGGUCCGGAGGUAAAGAUUGAUAUAUAGGAAGUAUGGUUUUGGCGACCAGAAGUGUUCCGGGUGUCACCGGUAGUGUACCGGGACCACCGGAGGGGUCCGGGGGUCCACCAGGUGGGGCCAGCGGCCCCGGAGGCAUACAUGGGCCAAGUGUGAGAAGGGACCAGCCCCUAGGUGGGCUGGGGCGCCUCCCCACCAAGGAACAUGCGCCUAGAGAGAAGAGGGGGCAAACCCUAAGGGCAAAUGGGCCCUAAGGCCCAUGCCUGGUGCGCCUCCCUCUCCCCCCCACUUGGCCGCCACCCCAAGAUGGGGAUUGGGGCUGCCGCCACCCCUAGGGUGGAAACCCUAGGUGGGGGAGCAGCCCUCCCUCUCCCCCUAUAUAUAGUGGAGGCAAAGGGGCAGCCAACACACGAAGUUCUUCCCCUGCUGGCGCAGCCCCUCCCCUCCAAUACCUCUUCUCCUCCACGUGAGCUUGGCGAAGCCCUGCCGGAGAACUGCCACUCCAUCACCACCACGCCGUCGUGCUGCUGUUGGACUCUCUUCCUCAACCUCUCCUUCCUCCUUGCUGGAUCAAGGCGUGGGAGACGUCUUCGUUCCGUACGUGUGUUGAACGCGGAGGUGCCGUCCGUUCAGCGCUAGGAUCAUUGGUGAUUUGGAUCACGACGAGUACGACUCCAUCAACCCCGUUCACUUGAACGCUUCCGCUUAGCGAUCUACAAGGGUAUGUAGAUGCACUCUCCUUCCCCUCAUUGCUAGAUUACUCCAUAGAUUGAUCUUGGUGAUGCGUAGAAAAUUUUAAAUUUCUGCUACGAUCCCCAACACCAACCAACGCGCUCCAAACGAGACCAUGUAAGGGGGAAUCGGACGAACCUGGUGGUCGGGGACCUCGCGAAUGUUUCUCACAUCCUGACCAAACCAAACAGUACCAAAACUAAACAGAAACGGCGUCAGCGGGAGCAGGAGGAGGAGGAGCAAGCGAUGUGUGCGAUGGAGAAGGGCGUUGCAGUACCUGGAACCGGGCGGGGAAGGCGGUGGAGAUGGCGCCGCCGAAGAGGGGGCGCCUGGUGCUACUCUCGCCGGCCAUCUUGACAAGGGAGUCCCGUGACUAGACAGCAAAACAAGGUUCUGGAGCGUGGGAGAAGACGGGGGUGGGGGAGAGAGCCGGAGAGGGUCGGGCGGGUUCGUGAUUCGAGCGAGUUUAGGCUAGUUGUAAUGUAUCAUACUCCAGUAUCAUGCAUGCAUGCCAACUACUCCCUCCAUUCCUAUCCGUUCCUAAAUAUAAGUCUUUGUAGAGAUUCCACUAGAUGGACUACAUACGGAGCAAAAUGAAUGAAUCUACACUUAAAAUGCAUCUAUAUGCAUCCGAAUGUGGUUCAUAGUGGAAGCUCUACAAAGACAUACAUUUAGGAACGGAGGGAAUAGACAAUUUUGAUGAGGUGUCGUUGAAUUAAAUAGAGAAAGAGAGGAUUGAGUAUCAUAUCAUGAUAGCGUAUCAUAAUAAAUGCUAUGCUACUAGGAGUAUGUGUCAUACAUGGCAAUAAAUAAAGUACUACAUGAUACUUCCUCUGUUCACAAAUAUAAAACGUUCUAGACUGACCAUACAAGUCUCUAAAACGUCUUAUAUUUAUGAAUAGAGGGAGUAAUAGUAUAUGAUACUCCCUCCAUUCCUAAAUAUUUGUCUUUGUAGACAUUUCAACAAGUGACUACAUACAGAGCAAAAUGAGUAAAUCUAUACUCUAAAAUAUGUCUAUAUACAUCCGUAUGUGAUAGUUCAUUUGACAUCUCUAAAAAGACAAAUAUUUAGGAACAAAGGGAGGUAGUAUUAUACACCAGUACCAUAUGCAUUAUACAAGUAUAUGGAUUGAGUAUAUGAUACUCCCAUUGCAACCAGCCUUAUAAGCGGCCAUGGGUGGUUUUGCCAAUGUGGCGCCUGACGAGUGGGACCAAGACCGGUUCGACCCAGCUAGCUCCUUCAUCUGCUUCGAGCCUUCGACCCACCCAGCCUCUGUCUUCGCGCCCCCCUCAGUUCUCUCCCUGACGACGACGGCCGCGGGACGGACGGCGAUCAGCGGCAUUAACUGAGCGUUGGGAGCCGGCGACACGUGCAGGUUCGUAACCACAUCCGAUUCUGUGUGAGAAGUGAACCACUAUGUGCUUGAUUACUCUGUUCUAAGUAGGGUUUUGGGGGAUUUCAAAAUCAACAGAGAUGGUCGUUUUCUUCUUGUUUUCAUUCAUUCAGUGGUGCAUCUGGUUAGUGCGGCCGUGCGGGAAGCCAUGGUUUUGUUUUGGUUUAGGGUCAGCUGACUCUUAUGGCUGGUUUGGUUUUAAUAACUGAACUAAAAGGGGGUAUUAGCCAUGGAUCCGCUGGACUAUCUGUGCAUCAGGUUUCAGUUCAGAGGACAAUUUGAACAUGAUGGAACAGAUCAACAGAGUGGCAGCAUGUGAAUGGAAUACAAGGCGUGUAGGCGUGUACAUUUAAGUUACGGGUGCGCAGGACGGGGGGACCUGUAUUUUUAUCCCAUAGCAGAGAAAAUAGAAUCUCCGUCUGAAGCUUGCUCGCGCGACAUUUUAACUUAAAUUUUUAGUCCUAUACCGGAUAGCGAGUAACAGUUGAACGUACUUAAAAGGAGGAAAGAUGGGUACCAUUUCAGAAAGUAGAUUAACAGGUGAAUGCUCUCUCGCUAUUACAUUGUAUUCAAGGGUUAGGUAGGGUGCGUGUAGGCGUGUACAGUUAAGUUAUGCGUGCACAGGACGGGGGGACCUAUAUUUUUAUCUCAUAGUAGAGAAAAUAGGAUCUCCGUCUGAAGCUUUAGUGGCAAUUUAAGGAAACGCCCGAGAACAACGUUUCUGGCGAAUCUGGAAAUGCCAGAUCUUGCAGGCGAAUGCCUCGAUUGGCCUUUCCAUUCGCGACCAAUUCUAGCAUUUUUGGGAAACGCUAAUAAAAACAUUCAGAGGCAUUUUUGCGUCCUACAGAGGCGUUUUAGAAUGCCUCGUAAUGUCGUCCGUGCUGUAGUGCUUAUGGCUGGUUUGGUUUUAAUAACUGAACUAAAAGGGGGUAUUAGCCAUGGAUCCGCUGGACUAUCUGUGCAUCAGGUUUCAGUUCAGAGGACAAUUUGAACAUGAUGGAACAGAUCAACAGAGUGGCAGCAUGUGAAUGGAAUACAAGGCGUGUAGGCGUGUACAAUUAAGUUACGGGUGCGCAGGACGAGGGGACCUGUAUUUUUAUCCCAUAGCAGAGAAAAUAGGAUCUCCGUCUGAAGCUUGCUCGUGCGACAUUUUAACUUAAAUUUUUAGUCCCAUACCGGAUAGCGAGUAACAGUUGAACGUACUUAAAAGGAGGAAAGAUGGGUACCAUUUCAGAAAGCAGAUUAACAGGUGAAUGCUCUCUUGCUAUUACAUUGUAUUCAAGGGUUAGGUAGGGUGCGUGUAGGCAUGUACAGUUAAGUUACGGGUGCGCAGGACAGGGGGACCUGUAUUUUUAUCCCAUAGUAGAGAAAAUAGUAUCUCCGUCUGAAGCUUUAGUGGCAAUUUAAGGAAACGCCCGAGAACAACGUUUCUGGCGAAUCUGGAAAUGCCAGAUCUUGCAGGCGUUAUGGAAAAAUGCCUCAAUUGGCCUUUCCCUUCGCGACCAAUUCUAGCAUUUUUGGGAAACGCUAAUAAAAACAUUCAGAGGCAUUUUUGCGUCCUACAGAGGCGUUUUAGAAUGCCUCGUAAUGUCGUCCGUGCUGUAGUGCUUAUGGCUGGUUUGGUUUUAAUAACUGAACUAAAAGGGGGUAUUAGCCAUGGAUCCGCUGGAUUAUCUGUGCAUCAGGUUUCAGUUCAGAGGACAAUUUGAACAUGAUGAAACAGAUCAACAGAGUGGCAGCAUGUGAAUGGAAUACAAGGCCUUUCAACACUCGAGCACCACAAGGUUAGCCUUGAAGAGCUUAAGAAAAAACUUAACAUGUGUCUUGUUCAGAUAAGCAACUGCAGGAAACCAAUUUGCAUUGAAAGUUCUAUGGGCUGAUUAGAGAUGGCCAAAUCACUAGUGCUCUGGUGACAUGAUCAACAAUCUGUCCUGGAGAUGGCCAAACAUGUCAAGGCCUCAACGGGAUCGCUCCGGGUGCCCACCCCCAAACGUGUCUGUGGUCGACCUCGUGGUGCAGGUCUCCAAGAACACCCUCGACGAGGAGCUGAACCAGGCGUUCCACGACGGCGCGGCCAACGAGCUCAAUGCCAUCCUCGACGUCGGCCAUGAGCCGCUCGUGUCCAUUGAUUUCAGGUGCUCCGACGUGUCCUCCACCAUCAACGCGUCGCUCAGCAUGGUCAUGGGAGACGACAUGGUAAGGUCAUUGCAUGGUACGACAACGAGUGGGGUUACUCCUAGAGGGUCAUCGACCUCGCCGACACCGUCGCCAACCAAUGGAAGUAAACGCCGGACAGCGGCAUUGCCCUGUGAAGUGACUCCUCUCAAAAUUUUCCCCAGCCAUCGUCACAGAUGAUCGAUUCU